GUGAGGAAUAUUGCACAAUGGGCGAAAGCCUGAUGCAGCAACGCCGCGUGGGGGAAGAAGGCCUUCGGGUCGUAAACCCCUUUUCUGAGGGAAGAGAAAGGACGGUACCUCAGGAAUAAGUCUCGGCUAACUACGUGCCAGCAGCCGCGGUAAUACGUAGGAGGCGAACGUUAUCCGGAAUUACUGGGCGUAAAGCGCACGCAGGCGGCUUCGUAAGUCCGACGUGAAAGCUCCCGGCUCAACUGGGAGAGGCCGUUGGAUACUGCGAAGCUCGAGGUUGGGAGAGGAAAGUGGAAUUCCCGGUGUAGUGGUGGAAUGCGUAGAUAUCGGGAGGAACUCCAGUGGCGAAAGCGACUUUCUAGCCUACACCUGACGCUGAGGUGCGAAAGCGUGGGGAGCGAACAGGAUUAGAAACCCGAGUAGUCC
rnacentral:rRNA from 1 species